rnacentral:lncRNA from 1 species
UGUCAUUCGCUUAUUUAAUAAAUUAAUGCGUUGUAAAGGUUUAUUUAAAGGGUACAAAAAGUAUGUAAUAAAAAAUUGUAAUAAGAAAAAAUUGUGUUAUACAAAAUGAACAAAAAUAAAAAAAAAAUUGUAAAAAAUGUUUUAUAAAAAGAAAAUCAUGGGAAAAAAAAAAAAAAAUUAAGUGUGCAAAGUCAUUUACUGGGGUAUUACUGUUGUAACAAUAUAUUUAUUAAUUAAAUAAAUUAAUGGAUAAGUUUAAAUAAAUAUAUAUAUGUAUAUACAAUCAUAUAUGAGUUUAACAAAUUAAUUUUAUUUUGUGGUUAUAAAAAAAAUGAAAAAAAAAAUAGCUACUACAACAUAAAGAGAUGUUGUUUACGCGUCUAUAAAUGUUGUUAACCUUUGACAAAAAAAAAAAAAAUAUAUAUAUAUAUAUAUAUAUGUAUAUAUGUAUAUAUAUAUAUAUACAUACAUUUACAACUAAAUAAUUUUAUUUUUAUCGGAAUUAAGUAAAAAAAUAAAGUAUAAUUAAAAUAUUAAUUUACUUUUUAAUAAACCCAAAAUAAUUAUGGGGAAUGCUUGUUGUGCAGGAAGAGAUUUACUUUAUAAAAAUAAACUACAUGAGUUUGGUGUAGAGGGGUCAAAGACAAUAAGGAAUUUAUUAUCAUUUACAAGUAAUGAUAUUAUAAGAUUCGAUAAGGCAUAUGAUGAAAAUAAUGUUCAAGAAUUUGUGAAAUUAUGUUCUUCUAGCUGCGAGAUUGAAAAGUUAGAGGACAGAAUGCAUCCCUGGGCUGCCGACCCCAAAACAAUUGGAGCAUUAGCAGCAACACAAUUAGCAAUAUUGGCUAGUAAAGAAAAUGAGCCACAUUAUAAAGAUGCAAUACGUGAAGCUAAUGGAAUACCUGUCUUUAUUAAUUUGUUAAAAUCACAUGAAUUGGAUAGAGUACAUGCCGCAGUUGUUGCUUUAUCAUUUUUAUCAGUUGAUAACGUGAAAAAUUGUAUAUGUAUGUUUGAAAAUGGUAUCUUACCAUAUUUGAUUAGUGGAAUGAAAUCAGAUAUAAAUGGAAUGAAAGCCGCUUGUGCACAAACAUGUAGAAACAUAUUUGUUUUGGAUAAAAAAUAUAAGAAGGAGUUUCUAAGAUUAGGAGGAUUAAAUCAAUUUGUGAAUUUAUUAGAAAUACCUUAUGACUACAAUGAUAGUCAACCUUUAUACACCCAAUUAGAAGUGAUUUACCACUUAGAAGAUUUUAUAUUGGUUAGUUGCAAAAGCAUAAAUAAAUAUCUGUUUGUUCAUUCGGUUGUUUGUUCAGUCGGUUGUUUGUUUGUUUGCUUUUUUUUUUUUUUUGCGCACAGUUUUCAUAUUACGUGCACGUAUAUCUAUAUAUAUAUAUAUAUAUGUAAAUGUUGCAGCUGGAAUAUUGUCGUGUGUAUGCAUUUGUACAUAAUAAAAAUAUUACAAAAAACAACAUACCUUAUUUAUUUAUUUAUUUAUUUAUUUAUUUAUUUAUUUAUUUAUUUAUUUAUUUAUUUAUUUAUUUAUUUAUUUAUUUAUUAUACAGAACGAUGGAGAUGAAGUACCCGAAUUUGUAGAAGCCGUAAAAAAAUCAAAUGCAAUUAAGAAUUUGAAAAUUCUUCAACAGGUAGUUAAAAAAAAAAGAAAAAAAAGAAAAUAGGGUAUACAUGUGGAAAAUGCUUAUACAAUUUACACAUUUCGUAUAUAUAUAUAUAUAUAU